CUACUCCACAAUGAAAAGGAAUGAACAGUUGACGUACCUUAUAACUUGAGUGAAUCGCAAAGGCGUUAUGUAACUGAAACCUAGUCAACGUGCCCAGCUAAACAACAAAACCAAAAAACUACAUUUCCCAGCCUCCUUUGCAGCGAGCCUGGAAAACAGACUUGAGGGCUGGAGCACUACCUGCCAUCUUGGACUAUGAGGUGACCUCGAAGAUGGAAGCUAUAUGCUGAGUACGGUAGGACAAAAAGAGAAGAGACUGUGUCCCCAGUGACAGUCCGAAGAUCCUAUACCAUUCAUGAACAGCCUACCUGCAGAUUUCCUUUACCUGAAAUGGGAGAGAACAUUCUACCUUGUUACUUGUUCAGGGGAGGAGGUUGUUGUGUGCAGCCAGACUUACUUGUAACUGAUACAGCAGCAUAAACUCCUUCAGACAAGUCUUCAUUCUUUAAUUUAUUUGGCUAGCACCGCCCAGAGUGUGAGUAACGUACUCCACUCCAAUGUAAGGACGGACCCACUUAUGGGGUAUAGCCUGUUCUAUAUCAGAUGCUGCUGCCGUGUACCUGGUCUGUCCAAUGGGUACGCCAAGUGUGCAUUUCUAUCAACAGACCUCAGAGGUCACAGAUUAGCCAAACCCAUUCCAUAAGCAUGUUUUCAUUAGCCAGCAUAUUUGUUUAUUUUAUUACUAAUACUGUUGUCACUAUUUUUUGUUACUUACUUAGUAUGAAUGAAUACGGUGAAGGGGCGUGCACUCUCCAGUUCCCCAUGAGCCACCCACUCUAUUUUCUCAGACUGAGUGCUUCACAUAGGUACAGAACCUACUGGGCUCCUGACAGCAUUAAUGAGAACUACCCUUUGAAAUGAUUCUUUCAACUUGAGACUUGACAUAUAGAGGAAGUGGACAGAAUUCACCAAGAAUGUUUCAGCGUGCACUAUAAAAUGAUUCGCUAACGAUGAACCGAGAAAUGAAUGUAUUGAUUACAGGCAGUGCAUAAUAUACCCCAUGGCUCCAAUGUUCAUUUCUAAUUUCUCUCCAUUAAAAGAAAGCCUUAGGAUGUGAUUAGAAAGUGAUUUCUCUCAUCUAUGGAACAUAAGAACUAGGAUGAUUGGUAG